ensembl:lncRNA
GAAAGGUUAAAUAAUCCUACAUUCAACUAUUGAGCAAUUCAAACAUUAAUUUAAAUAUCAUCAACAAAGUGCAUCUAUACUGUCAUGUCUUCAUUUAAACGAUGUAAGAAAGUACAACCAAUCAUUCUAAAGUCAAGAGGGCAUACAAACACUACACUUGGGAACAUAUUCGCUCUGCAGUCCAGUUGUGACUUUCAUUAUUACACUUCUAUUAGACUGCUUCAACUGUUUUUACACUAUUAAAAAAACUGAUAUGGAGCUAUUCAGCCAAGCCUUUCCUUGUCAAACCUGUUAAACUGUCUAUUCUGUCCCAGAGGUGAUGGAGUCAAUGUUGAGAUUUAAUUGCUCUAUUUCUAUUGAGAAUAUUCAGCUUACAAAGAUAAUUAAAAUUAAUUGGAUAUAUACCAUUUUAGCUUCAUACAAUAAAUUAAGGAUUUUUUUCUCUUUUAUUUUCAUACCUCAAUAUAAGCUAAAGGAGGAAAGUAAGGAACAAUAAUGAUGUUAACUUGGCCUUUGAAGGGAAUAAUACUGAAACUCUGAAGAGAGAAAAGGGGAAAGUAUAAAGAGCUUGCAAUUAAUUUGAAUAGUUCUAUAUCCAUGUUAUAGCAUAUGAUAUAUAAAGCUAAUAACUUCCUAUGGUGCCAACAUCUGAAUGAAGUGUCAUCCAAUGCAGGAAAUUUAUUUUACCCCUGAUUUCUACUCAAUGGUAACAUCGGUAACCGAGUCUGGAGUCAUCCAUGACCUAUAAAAUUAUCAAACUAUGAUCAAUAAAAAGCAAUUAUGUUUCAUAUACAUCUCAGAUAUACCUCUCAGAAUAUAUAUAUAGUUAAAGAUAGAUGUUCUGAACAGUGUAUGGGUUUUUACAGUAAAGAUAGAUAUUCUGAACACUUUAUGGGUUUUUAUAGAUACCACAGGGAUCUAUGAAGAGGGCUAGAGGUCUGUUCCCCACACAGAUCUAUAAAGAGGGCUAGAGGUCUGUUCCCCACACAGAUCUAUAAAGAGGGCUAGAGGUCUGUUCCCCACACAGAUCUAUAAAGAGGGCUAGAGGUCUGUUCUCCACAGGGAUCUAUGAAGAGAGGUAGAGGUCUGUUCCUCACAGAGAUCUAUGAAGAGGGCUAGAGGUCUGUUCCACACAGGGAUUUAUAACGAGGGCUAGAGGUCUGUUCUCCACAUGGAUUUAUAAAGAGGGUUCGAGGUCUGUUCUCCACAGGAACCUAUAAAGAGGGGUAAAUGUCUGUUCCACACAAGGUGCGUUAAUUUUGCUUUCUCAGGGAGAUGACAUCUGUUGUGGGGUCUAUGUUUAAACCAAUUGUUUGUCUGCUUUUCUCUUUUCACUAGCUACAACACUGUCAGCAUUCUUGUGUCGUGCACAAGCUGCUUUAAAACUGUAAAUGAUGGCCUAUUCUUUUUGGUAAAUGAACUGAAAUUGCAGCAUAUGAAAUUACAACAAGAACAAAGUUUGGAGAUAUGCU